CCUACGGUGGCAGCAGUGGGGAAUAUUGGACAAUGGGCGAAAGCCUGAUCCAGCCAUGCCGCGUGUGUGAAGAAGGCCUUCGGGUUGUAAAGCACUUUCAGUGGGGAAGAAAGCCUUGGGGCUAAUACCCUCGAGGAAGGACAUCACCCACAGAAGAAGCACCGGCUAACUCCGUGCCAGCAGCCGCGGUAAUACGGAGGGUGCGAGCGUUAAUCGGAAUUACUGGGCGUAAAGCGCGCGUAGGCGGUCUGAUAAGCCGGUUGUGAAAGCCCCGGGCUCAACCUGGGAACGGCAUCCGGAACUGUCAGGCUAGAGUGCAGGAGAGGAAGGUAGAAUUCCCGGUGUAGCGGUGAAAUGCGUAGAGAUCGGGAGGAAUACCAGUGGCGAAGGCGGCCUUCUGGACUGACACUGACGCUGAGGUGCGAAAGCGUGGGUAGCAAACAGGAUUAGAUACCCUAGUAGUC
rnacentral:rRNA from 1 species